UAGGGAAUCUUCCGCAAUGGACGAAAGUCUGACGGAGCAACGCCGCGUGAGUGAAGAAGGAUUUCGGUUCGUAACACUCUGUUGUUAGGGAAGAAAAAAUGUAUAGUAACUAUAUACAAAAGAGACGGUACCUAACCAUAAAGCCACGGCUAACUACGUGCCAGCAGCCGCGGUAAUACGUAGGUGGCAAGCGUUGUCCGGAAUUAUUGGGCGUAAAGCGCGCGCAGGUGGUUUAGAAAGUCUGAUGUGAAAGCCCACGGCUCAACCGUGGAGGGUCAUUGGAAACUAAUAAACUUGAGUGCAGGAGAGAAAAGUGGAAUUCCUAGUGUAGCGGUGAAAUGCGUAGAGAUUAGGAGGAAAACCGGUGGAGAAAGCGGCUUUUUGGCCUGCAACUGACACUGAGGAGCGAAAGCGUGGGGAGCAAACAGG
rnacentral:rRNA from 1 species